UUAGUGGGGAAUGAUGUAACAAGUACGUUUUCUUAUUUAAUUUAAUCCCAUGGAAAAUCGAUAAUAGAAUUUCAUAAGUUAGAAACUAUUGCAUGAAUGUUCGUUUUGCUUAAUAAGAUCCCUAAAGUUAGUCUCCACACAAUCGCACACCUCACGCCUUCGAAAUGGUUGCAUCUGGCAUACAAGCUAAUCAAGUGAGUUCCCAUUACCAGUUACACACGCUAAACAUGAGACCCAAGCCAACCGCGCGUCAUUUCGCUAUGCAAAUUAGCUUGAAUAGAGGGACAACGACCCGCAAAUGCGCCAUUCAAAAUACAUUGACCUUCCUUAUUCGACUUUGGACUCUACUUCCAAGAUCGGAGAGAAUUUGACUGGAUGUUUGAAAGCCGUCAGAAAGAGAUGUCGCGAUGCCCGCUAAAUCUUUUAUGUCCAAUUGCGAGAAUUAGCGUUCGUGAUAUUAUCUUCGGGUAAUAUCACGGCAACCGGGGAUUAUUUUACAGAUUCGCAGUUAAUCUGAGGCAAUUUCCAACUCUAAUCGAUCACUUCGAUUCGAUCAGUGGAAGAGGCAAAAGUGGUCCGUAUUUGUUUCGCGUCGUGGUGUAAUUUAAAAUUUGAUCGUCAAUCAGUAAUUUGUUCGAUCUAAGUUGCGGCAGUGCGUGUUACUAGUUUAGAAAAGGUGCGAGGCAGCGAAGCCAUUUGCCGUUACACCACCAUCCCAUUAGAGACCGCUUUUGACCCCACUCGUCGGCGUCGAGGUAAUCCCGGGGCACACGUGGCCGGAAGAGGGCCGCGUCACGUUCCUUUUACGCGCCCUAGACAGGCAGGCUCAUCCAACCCAUCAGCGUCCAACCGACAGCAGCGAGAACUAUUGUUCGACGAACGGACGCAUGUGCCGCGUUCAAGCGUAAGACCACGCGCCAGGUGAGAGAGUCAUCAACGAUCGACACGUAAAGCCGUCGACAUCGGGCCGGAGUAGUGCGUAAGCAGCUCUGUGUGCUCAGCCGCCGACUCAUCACCAUCCAACCAUCCACGUAAACCCUAGGUAGUGAGUAUUUGCAUGCAUUUUGUACUGUGAACGUCCAUGCGCAUGAGGCAAUAAAUUUCAAGUACUUAAUUGCCUCCGUUAAAUGAUUGGUACAUGAUCAGCGAGUGAAUGAACGGGUAACGCACAAACAACACGCACGAUACACUGUAGGUUGAUGGGGAUUAGAUAGUAUGCGAUAGUGUAGCAAUAUGUUAAAAGGGGAAGAAGAAAGGCCUAGGCAAAGGAAUAAACGAGAUGUAAUAAAGCUCUUUGUUUGACUGUAUUAAAGCUUCGUGUUAUACUUGAUGUGUGUGAAUGUAGAAAUUAUAGCGUACAGCAUACUGCUAUUCGUCUCGAACUUGAUGAAGUAGAUUCCCGUAAAUGUAGACAAACAGUUAGUCAUCUGAGAGGGGUUCCCAUGUCUUUUCGCGGACGAAUCAUCAAUUUCAAUUUGUAGUCGUGAUAACUUUUCAUUCUAAAGCGUGAUUUAUUCGUUUGAUUGUGGAGAGCUGGGCCAGUGAUGAAAACUUAUUGUGAACGGUUAAUUGUCUUUGGAGCGGUUCUGGUAGUUGCACGUACGUGAUUUAGAGUC